rnacentral:rRNA from 1 species
CACUAACACUCCUACGGGAGGCAGCAGUGGGGAAUAUUGCACAAUGGGGGAAACCCUGAUGCAGCCAUGCCGCGUGUGUGAAGAAGGCCUUCGGGUUGUAAAGCACUUUCAGUAGGGAGGAAGGUAGUGUAGUUAACACCUGCAUUAUUUGACGUUACCUACAGAAGAAGCACCGGCUAACUCCGUGCCAGCAGCCGCGGUAAUACGGAGGGUGCGAGCGUUAAUCGGAAUUACUGGGCGUAAAGCGCAUGCAGGCGGCCUGUUAAGUCAGAUGUGAAAGCCCGGGGCUUAACCUCGGAAUUGCAUUUGAAACUGGCAGGCUAGAGUCUUGUAGAGGGGGUAGAAUUUCAGGUGUAGCGGUGAAAUGCGUAGAGAUCUGAAGGAAUACCAGUGGCGAAGGCGGCCCCCUGGACAAAGACUGACGCUCAGAUGCGAAAGCGUGGGGAGCAAACAGGAUUAGAUACCCUGGUAG